UACGAAGGGGGCUAGCGUUGCUCGGAAUUACUGGGCGUAAAGCGCACGUAGGCGGCUUUCUAAGUCGGGGGUGAAAUCCUGGAGCUCAACUCCAGAACUGCCCUUACGAUACUGGAAAGCUCGAGUCCGGGAGAGGUGAGUGGAACUGCGAGUGUAGAGGUGAAAUUCGUAGAUAUUCGCAAGAACACCAGUGGCGAAGGCGGCUCACUGGCCCGGUACUGACGCUGAGGUGCGAAAGCGUGGGGAGCAAACAGG
rnacentral:rRNA from 1 species